rnacentral:rRNA from 1 species
UAAUGAGGGGAGGAAAAGAAACUAACAAGGAUUUCCCCAGUAGCGGCGAGCGAAAAGGAAAUAGUUCAGCACUAAGUCACUUUGUUAUUAAUAACAAAUGUGAGAUGCAGUGUAUGGAAUAUCUAAUUCUAAUAUGAGAAAUUAACGAUUUAAGUCCUUCUUAAAUGAGGCCAUUUACCCAGAGAGGGUGCCAGGCCCGUAUAACGUUAAUGAUUAUUAGAAGAUAUUUCCAAAGAGUCGUGUUGCUUGAUAGUGCAGCACUAAGUGGGUGGUAAACUCCAUCUAAAACUAAAUAUAACCAUGAGACCGAUAGUAAACAAGUACCGUGAGGGAAAGUUGAAAAGAACUCUGAAUAGAGAGUUAAAUAGUACGUGAAACUGCUUAGAGGUUAAGCCCGAUGAACCUGAAUAUCCAUUAUGGAAAAUUCAUCAUUAUUGAUUAUUAUAAUUAUUAAUUAUUAUAUUAAUAAUGUGCAUUUUUUCCAUAUAAGGACAUUGUAAUCUAUUAACAUCAAUAUAUAUAUUUAUCAAAAAAUUAUAUAACAAUAAGUUUAUUUAAAUUAUUUUGCAUUUGUGCAAUUUAACAUAAAAUAAAAUGUUUAAUAAUUUGAUAAAGUGUUGAUAGAUUUAUUAUAAAUAUAGUGCUUUAAAUAUAUAUAUAUAUAUAUUUUAUAAUAAACAUAUUUAAUCAUUGAUUUUUAUGUUUAAUUAUAUGCACUUAUAUGAUUAACAAUGCGAAAGAUUCAGGAUACCUUCGGGACCCGUCUUGAAACACGGACCAAGGAGUCUAACAUAUGUGCAAGUCAUUGAGUAAAAUUAAUUAAAACUUAAUGGCAGAAUUAACAUGACUUUUAUAUUUAUUUAUUUUUUAUAAAUAAAUAUGGGAUUAAUUUUUUAGAAUUAUUUAUUUAAUAAAUAAAAUCUAUUUAAUUCAAUCCCGGGGCGUUCUAUACAGUUAUGUAUAAUAAUAUUUAUUUAUUAUUUAUACCUCUAACUAGAACGUACCUUGAGCAUAUAUGCUGUGACCCGAAAGAUGGUGAACUAUACUUGAUCAGGUUGAAGUCAGGGGAAACCCUGAUGGAAGACCGAAACAGUUCUGACGUGCAAAUCGAUUGUCAGAAUUGAGUAUAGGGGCGAAAGACCAAUCGAACCAUCUAGUAGCUGGUUCCCUCCGAAGUUUCCCUCAGGAUAGCUGGUGCAUUUAAAAAUUAUUUAAAAUAAUCUUAUCUGGUAAAGCGAAUGAUUAGAGGCCUUAGGGUCGAAACGACCUUAACCUAUUCUCAAACUUUAAAUGGGUAAGAACCUCACCUUUCUUGGUAUGAAGGUUGUGGUUGUGAUAUAAUGUGCCCAGUGGGCCACUUUUGGUAAGCAGAACUGGCGCUGUGGGAUGAACCAAACGUAAUGUUACGGUGCCCAAAUUAACAACUCAUACAGAUACCAUGAAAGGCGUUGGUUGCUUAAAACAGCAGGACGGUGGACAUGGAAGUCGUAAUCCGCUAAGGAGUGUGUAACAACUCACCUGCCGAAGCAACUAGCCCUUAAAAUGGAUGGCGCUUAAGUUGUAUACCUAUACAUUACCGCUAAAGUAAAUGGUUUUAUAUUCAAUUGAAUUUUAUAACUUUGAAACUUUAGUGAGUAGGAGGGUACAAUGAUGUGCUUUGAAGUGUUUGGCGUAAGCCUGCAUGGAGCCGUUAUUGGUACAGAUCUUGGUGGUAGUAGCAAAUAAUCGAAUGAGACCUUGGAGGACUGAAGUGGAGAAGGGUUUCGUGUGAACAGUGGUUGAUCACGAGUUAGUCGGUCCUAAGUUCAAGGCGAAAGCUGAAAAUUUUCAAGUUAAUAAAUAUAUAUAUUGAAAUUAAUAAUUAAAUAUAUUUAAUUAUGAAAUACUUGAAAUAUUUUUGAACGAAAGGGAAUACGGUUACAAUUCCGUAACCUGUUGAGUAUCCGUUUGUUAUUAAAUAUGGGCCUUGUGCUCAUCCUGGUAACAGGAACGACCAUAAAGAAGCCGUCGAGAGAUAUCGGAAGAGUUUUCUUUUCUGUUUUAUAGUCGUAUUACCAUGGAAGUCUUUUGAAGAGAGAUAUGGUAAAUGGACUAGAAGAGCAUGACAUUUACUGUUGUGUCGAUAUUUUCUCCUCGGACCUUGAAAAUUUAUGGUGGGGUCACGCAAACUUCUCAACAGGCCGUACCAAUAUCCGCAGCUGGUCUCCAAGGUGAAGAGUCUCUAGUCGAUAGAAUAAUGUAGGUAGGGAAAAGUCGA